CCAGCAUUGAGUAUGGUUUACUGGAUUUGGCCCAGAGAGGGUGAAAGGCCCGUAGGGGUGGAGUAUCAGAAAUGUAAGGCAGUUCACCAGGUCGACCUUAGAGUCGGGUUGUUUGGGAAUGCAGCCCAAAGCGGGUGGUAAACUCCAUCCAAGGCUAAAUACAAGCACGAGUCCGAUAGCGAACAAGUACCGUGAGGGAAAGUUGAAAAGUACUCUGAAGAGAGAGUAAACAGUACGUGAAACCGCAUGCAGGUAAACGGGUGGCGUCAAGCUGCAGGCCCAGAGGAUUCAGUCGACUAGGUUGUAGUGUAUGUGCCUGGCGCAUCCAUCAGUCAGAGUGUGAUUGAGUAGUCCAUGGGUAAACCGUGGGCCUGGCCGCAAGGUCGGGAUGUGUGUACCGGAUGGGUGCCGGAGCAUGCUACUCGUCUGUGGACUGUCUAGUCGGUGCACUUUCUCUGUGGUCAACACCACGACCGGUGGUAUUGCCAGUCUGCUGUGCUCAAGUUGUGCUCGGUUGGUCCUUGUGGCUAGCUGGGUGCGAUCACAGGCAAAUUCAGUGAACGGCGCGGGGGUGCUUCGGUAUCUUCGCGUGUUAUCGGCCACUGGUUGUCAACAGGCCUGCCCGGUGUUUGUUGUAACCGGCAUUGGGUGGUCUGGUGGAGCAUGGUGGUAAGAAUAACUGUGCAAGGCACCGGAGUUGUCGGCCUCAAAUGCGUCCCGCACACACGUUACAAGUGGUGAUUAGUGGCGGUGUCGUGGCCAUCUGCCUGGUGUUGGGUGUGAUUGGCGUGUUGCCCGCGAAAAGCGGGCCCGCCAGUGGCUCGAUUCAGGAUGGGUGGUUUGCGGCGCUGUCGGUGUGGGACGUG
rnacentral:rRNA from 1 species